rnacentral:rRNA from 1 species
ACGCGAAGAACCUUACCCAGGCUUGAACAGCGAGUGACCAUCGACGAAAGUUGACUUCCGCAAGGACACUCGUAGAGGUGCUGCAUGGCUGUCGUCAGCUCGUGUCGUGAGAUGUUGGGUUAAGUCCCGCAACGAGCGCAACCCUUGUCUGCUGUUGCCAUCACGUUAUGGUGGGCACUCUGCAGAGACUGCCGGUGAUAAACCGGAGGAAGGUGGGGAUGACGUCAAGUCAGCAUGGCCUUUAUGUCUGGGGCUACACACGUGCUACAAUGGCAGAUACAAACCGUCGCGAGACCGCAAGGUGGAGCUAAUCGGAGAAAGUCUGUCUCAGUUCGGAUAGCAGGCUGCAACUCGCCUGCUUGAAGUUGGAAUCGCUAGUAAUCGCGGAUCAGCACGCCGCGGUGAAUACGUUCCCGGGCCUUGUA